rfam:Nicotiana attenuata strain TT scaffold05206, whole genome shotgun sequence.
GUGACAGAAGAGAGUGAGCACACAUGGUUCUUGCAUGGAAAUUCCAUGCAUAAAGCUCUGCGUGCUCGCUCUCUAUCUGUCAC